CAGUUAUGUCUAGAACUCCCAGAUCAUUUGUAACCCUAAUAAGUGCUUUCACUGCCAUAGUAUUGUUCAACGUUGAUAAUAACAAUAUAAGCACCCGUAGUGUGGAAACACUUCUAGCAAAUAAAGACAUUGUUAUCUUCGAUCUGCUAUUGCUUUUCCUUUUUCUUUUACUGUGAAUCUUUUCAUUACUUUAUAUAUAUAUAUACACUACGAGUAAAAAUAUUGAAGGAGAAAUGUAUAAUAUUCAAAGAGGUUUUUAAUUAAAAAUAUAUAAAUAUAUUAAUUUUCGGUUGAAUUACUUUUUUAUCCCUUAAUUAAUUUAUCAGGGUUUUUUUUGAAAAAAAUAUCAAUUAUUGUAAAAAAUAUCAAUUAAGGAUCAUUUACUGUUAUUAUAUAUAUAUAUAUAUAUAUAUAUAUAUAUAUAUAUAUAUAUAUAUAUAUAUAUAUAUAUAUAUAUAUAUAUAUAUAUAUAUAUAUAUAUAUAUAUAUAUAUAUAUAUAUAUAUAUAUAUAUAUAUAUAUAUAUAUAUAUAUAUAUAUAUAUACAUACUUCCCAGUAAUUUUCCAAAUAACUCCUGCAAGUUUACAUAUCAUUCACCAUUUCCAAAAUAUCCUUAAUUAGGAAUACCUAUCCCAAAUAUCACUAUAAUUUCGGUGAUCAUGUUGAUUAUAAUCUCAAAAUCGGUUAGAGCAGUACAAAUCUUACAAUAUUUUUUUAAAAGGCUACAAAUCUUACAAUAUUUUUAAAAGGUUUUAAAAGUAUUAAUGGGAAAUGAAUCACUAGCUAGUAAGUUUUAUUAAAAAUAUGUUCGAAUUAUAUUUAAAAAAAUGAUAGAUAUUCUUUUAUAAAAAUAUUAUUUUUAUUUUUUAAUCAGUUUUUUCAAAGAUAUUUACUAACAUUCUUCCUUAUUAAUUUAGUUAUAAAUACCUUUGAAUGACAUUUUCCCUCCAAAAAAUAUCUUUGAAUGACAUUAAUUUUUUCAUUAUUUUUAAAAUUGUUGUAAAGGUUGAAUAUGAGCUGUUUUUCAAAAUAUCGUUGAAUGUAAUUAAUAUUUUUCUUUCUUUCAACAAAUGAAGGUUGAAUGAGUUUUAUUUUUCAUUUCACAUCAUAUUUAUAUAUUUUAACGAUAAAGAUCAAAAUCCAUUUUUGCAUUCUGAUGUUUUGUUCUUCUCGUUAAAAGCAACUUUAGUAUUUUUUAGGUCAUAAACCAUGAAUGUCUUUUAAUUCUCCAAAUAAAAAAUUAAUCAUGUCUAGCACUUUUAAAUAAAUCAUUCUUAACAUAAUUUUACAUCACUAUACUAAUCUUACUUGUUAAAAUAAUUUUUGUCUUUAUUAUCAAGUACUAGUAUUAACUAACAACAUGAUAUUUAUGUUUAAAAUAAUUGUAGAGUUUUAAGUCAAAAGAUAAGGUACAUAUAUAUAAGAAAUUAAUUUUUAUUAUUAAGAUUUAGGUGGCUUAAAUGCAAAGUGAAAGAUUAAAUUUUAUUAGAUGAACUCAAUUAAAUGAAUGUAUUGGAAAUUAUUUUUAUUUUAACUUCUAAAAAAACUUAUUUAAUAUAAUUGGUGACAAUCUUCACUAUAAAUAGAGAAGAAAUUUAUUGAAGAAACAACACAUUUAAAGAGAAUGUGAGAAGAAAGAGUGUGAAAUAAAGUAUUCUGUUGAAAGAAAAAUGAUCUUAUGUGAGAGUAUUAUCAUUUCUUGUAACUAUAAAGUGGGAUACUCGAAUUCUAUUUUGGGAUGGGUUAAAUUCUUGUAAUUAUUUUUGUGAUAGUGAAACUUUUUGAGACGAUUAUGUAGACAUAUUCAAGAGAUGUUGAAUCAUGUUAAAUUAUUGUAUUUAUUAUUAUUUUUUUACGAUGUAUUCUUUGUUGUGUUCUCAGGAUUUUGUAUGAAUGUACGUAAUUUUGUCUGUUAGAAGGUUGAACCACAUUAAAAAAUAAUAAAGACAUUGUUAUCUUCGAUCUGCUAUUGCUUUUCCUUUUUCUUUUACUGUGAAUCUUUUCAUUACUUUAUAUAUAUAUAUAUACACUACGAGUAAAAAUAUUGAAGGAGAAAUGUAUAAUAUUCAAAGAGGUUUUUAAUUAAAAAUAUAUAAAUAUAUUAAUUUUCGGUUGAAUUACUUUUUUAUCCCUUAGUUAAUUUAUCAGGGUUUUUUUUGAAAAAAAAUCAAUUAUUGUAAAAAAAUAUCAAUUAAGGAUCAUUUACUGUUAUUAUAUAUAUAUAUAUAUAUAUAUAUAUAUAUAUAUAUAUAUAUAUAUAUAUAUAUACUUCGCAGUAAUUUUCCAAAUAACUCCUACAAGUUUACAUAUCAUUCACCAUUUCCAAAAUAUCCUUAAUUAGGAAUACCUAUCCCAAAUAUCACUAUAAUUUCGGUGAUCAUGUUGAUUAUAAUCUCAAAAUCGGUUAGAGCAGUACAAAUCUUACAAUAUUUUUUUAAAAGGCUACAAAUCUUACAAUAUUUUUAAAAGGUUUUAAAAGUAUUAAUGGGAAAUGAAUCACUAGCUAGUAAGUUUUAUUAAAAAUAUGUUCGAAUUAUAUUUAAAAAAAUGAUAGAUAUUCUUUUAUAAAAAUAUUAUUUUUAUUUUUUAAUCAGUUUUUUCAAAGAUAUUUACUAACAUUCUUCCUUAUUAAUUUAGUUAUAAAUACCUUUGAAUGACAUUUUCCCUCCAAAAAAUAUCUUUGAAUGACAUUAAUUUUUUCAUUAUUUUUAAAAAUUGUUGUAAAGGUUGAAUAUGAGCUGUUUUUCAAAAUAUCGUUGAAUGUAAUUAAUAUUUUUCUUUAUUUUAAUAAAUGAAGGUUGAAUGAGUUUUAUUUUUCAUCUCACAUCAUAUUUAUAUAUUUUAACGAUAAAGAUCAAAAUCCAUUUUUGCAUUCUGAUGCUUUGUUCUUCUCGUUAAAAGCAAUUUUAGUAUUUUUUAGGUCAUAAACCAUGAAUGUCUUUUAAUUCACCAAAUCAAAAAUUAAUCAUGUCUAGCACUUUUAAAUAAAUCAUUCUUAACAUAAUUUUACAUCAUUAUACUAAUCUUACUUGUUAAAAUAAUUUUAGUCUUUAUUAUCAAGUACUAAUGUUAACUAACAACAUGCUAUUUAUGUUUAAAAUAAUUGUAGAGUUUUAAUUAAAUCAAAAGAUAAGGUGCGUAUAUAUAUAAGAAAUUAAUUUUUAUCAUUAAGGUUUAGGUGACUUAAAUGUAAAGUGAAAGAUUAAAUUUUUCUAGAUAAACUUAGUUAAAUGAAUGCAUUGAAAAUUAUUUUUAUUUCAAAUUCCAAAAAAAUUUAUUUAAUAUAAUUGGUGACAAUCUUUACUAUAAAUAGAAAAGAAAUUUAGUGAAGAAACAACACAUGUAAAGAAAGUGUGAGAAGAAAGAUUCGGAAAUAAAAUAUUAUGUUGAAAGAAAAAUGCAUUUACGUGAGAAUGUUAUCAUUUCUUGUAAUCAUAAAGUGGGAUACUCGAGUUCUAUUUUGGGGUGAGUUACAUUCUUAUAAUUAUUUUUGUGAUAGUGAAACUUUUUGAGACGAUUAUGUAAACGUAGUCAAGAGAUGUUGAAUCACAUUUUCUUGUAUUUAUUAUUAUUUUUUACGGUAUGAUUUUUAUUGUGUUCUCAUAAUCUUUUAUGAAUGUGCGUAAUUUUAUCUGUUAGAAGGUUGAACCAUAUUAAAAAAUAAUAAUUCUAUAUCCAUAGGAAAAAAAAAGAAAAAAAAAGUCAUUCAACUAGCUAGCUACGCAAACCUUUAUUUAUCAUGAAAUUUUCAUUCUUCCCUAAUAUCACGAAACAUACUCAAUUUUAUAAUGAAAUCAAGAGCAAUUCUCUAGCAUACAGAAAGCUUGAACUCAAUUUUCAAAGCAAUGAUGAAUAAUGUUAAGCCAAACAGCAAUCACUCUUUUAUUUAGAAGACAUAAGAGGAAAAUAUUUGGCUACAACUAAGUUCUCAACCCUACAUGCAUGUAGGAUUUAAGAACAUAUGUUAAGAUAAAAACAUAUUUUAAAACCAAUUAUAGCAAGCAAAUUCUCUGUUGGGAAAACGAAAUCUACAUGGUCCCUUUUCUCCUAUAUGCCAAUUGCACUCUUCGCAAUCAGAAUCUCGAGUUGGAUCGUACAUAUUAAAGGUGUGAGCAGCACCUUCCCAUGCAAAGAAGCAAAGCAAUGGUCUGUGUGUAGGUGUAAUAUCACCAGAAUAAAUCCAUUCAUAUUGAUAACCAGGGCGAAGAUGAAUAUACGGUGGCUUUGUAGGAUCAAAAUAGGGACAAGAAAUGGUUAAAUUCAAACUUCCAUUAUCCAAAGUAUUUGUAGCUACAACAAUUAUCUGGUACACCACCACAGCAUUGCUUGUUGGUGACAAAAAAAGGAUAAACACCCAUAGUAAUGAUAGUAUGGAAACGCUUCUGGUAAAGAAAGACAUAAUCCUUUUUCUUGAAGAUAUUAAGAUAAAUGUGUCUGUGAGAGGUUUUUAUAGUUAAAAUACAUGAUGAGAUUCGAAAGAAAACAAAAAAAAAACUAUUCAACGUUUACAUUUGUUACAAUAUAGAAAAAAGUUAAUGUAUUCUUUUAAAAACAACUCAUUACCUUUACAGCAGAUUUAAAAAUAAAGAAAAAUUAAUGCCGUUCAAAGAUAUUUCAUGAUAUAUUUUGAAAAAUUAAUUGUUAUUUUGACUUUUUUAAUAAGAUCUUAUAAAAUAAUUCAAAAUUGUUUCUUCAAUAUAUGUAAUUAAAUCAAUAAAUAUUUAUGUUCUUAAUACUCCAUAAUAUUCUCAUGACAUAUUUUAAUAUAAUAGACAAAUUUGUUAAGAUAAUUAAAUCAAUUUUCUCACAACAACAAACCAGUGACUCUGGUAGGUAAGGCUUCUACCAAUUCAUCUCAUGCUUUUUAUUCUCAAUUUUGUCGCUAUAUGUUUAUGAAUGCUAUUGAAUCCUUUCACUCUGUCACUUUACUGUCUGCGAAUGAUGCCACCGAUGCUGACCCACUUCCAUUGACCGAGGACACUCCUUCAUCAGUUUGCUCAGUUGUUCACCAAAACAUCUUUUCAGGCAACCAUGAAUGAUAUUUUGAGGCCAUUCUUGUGCAAAUUAAUCCUUGUAUUCUGUGAUAAUAUUCUGAUAUAGCCUUCAUUGGCACACCCAUUUUUAUCUCAAAUAUGCCAAAUGUGACUUUGGUAUUUACACAGUAGCAUACUUGGGGCAUAUCAUAUCUCAGUCUGGCGUUGCAGCUGACCCAGAGAAGCUUUUGGGGUAUGAAUAUGAAAUCCUUUACACUUUGGGGCGUGCCAAUGCAUUAUCACGUGAUGGAUGAUGGCACAGGAUGUCAAGACAUUUGUGCAAGUCAAAAUAUUAAAUAAAAUUAAAAAUAAAAACAAACUAAAUUUAUUAAUAAUUAAUAAUAAAAAAUGUGUUUAUGAUUUUGAACUCGCAAAUAAUUUAUAACUUCUAAAACAAUAUUUUUUUUCAAAUGCUUAUAACUUCAAAAUCCUAUUAAAAAAAUCAUAAUCUUUUUUACGAUUUUAAUAGAAAAAAAAUGACACCCUUAUUGAUGGAUUUGCCCACUCUUUGCAGUUAGAAUCCCUGAGUUGGUACGUACAUAUUAAAAGAAUGAAAGGCACUUCGUCCUUGCCAUUUAAACCUUGUAGAUGGAAUAUCACCAGAAUAAUUCCAUGGAUGGUGAGUACCGGGCUGGAUCAAUAUUGGGACAAGAAACGUUUUAAGUCCAAAUUUCCUGCAAAAUAAUUUGUGACCUCAAUAGCAUUGUUUGAUGACGACGAAAAAAGCACAAACACCCACAGUAUGGAAACACUUUUAGCAAACAAAGACAUUGUUGCACCUCUUGUAUCAAACCCCCCCCCUUUUUUUUAUGAAGAAUCUUCUAUAUACAUAUAUUUGUGAGGGGUCUUCAAAGUUAUUAAAAUAUAUAAAUACAAUGUGAUAUGAGAAAACAAAACUUGUUCAAUGUUUACCUUAAAAUAAAAUAAAAAACAAAUUUAAUGGAGUAAUUGAUUUUGUUGAUUGGAGUGCAAAAUCCUUAAACGACUAUUAUAAAAUAACAGAGAGCUAUUUCUUUAAUUAAUUUUUUUCUAAAGUUUACAUAUUGAUUUUGUAGUUGCAUAAACAAGUGAUAUCAAUAUAAUUUAUAUCCAUUAAAUGCAUGAAUUUAAUAUUCUCAGUUCUUGUAAUUCCUAAACUUUUUUCCUGAAAAGAACAAACCCAUAUUAUUUCAUUCAUAAUAAUAGUAUCAACAUAGUUAGGAAAACUUAUGAAUAUGAUGAAUAACAUAAAAUCUCGACUUUAUUAGCUUGUCUCCGGACUAAAUUCAUCGUAGAGUUUUCAAUGAUCUGGAAUGUAACAACAUUUUCAGACAAAGUGAUACCAAAUUCUGAAAGAUUUGGAUUUUUGCAAAAGAAAGCAUCAGAAACAUGCUUACAAACUACUUCCAUAGAGGAUAAUUCAAAAUUAAUACAAAGAAAAGAAUAUCAUAAAUAUAUUACCGAAAUUUAAAAUGUGCAUUUAUCUUUCAUCUCUUGAAACUUAUGUCUGACACCAUGACACAUUAAUGGGAUUUAAGAACCAAAAUUAAUUAUUUUAAAAAUAUAAAAAAAACUAACUGGAGACACAUCAUCAUUAAAGUAGUUUCUAUUACUUUAUUAUAAUUCUUUUAAAAAUGAAAAUAUAAAAUACAUGCUGUAUUUUUUUAUACUACAAAUAAAAUGGUUUCAUAAAUUAUUUUUUUUCUAAAUUUAUCUGAACUUUUAGUAUCUAUUAAAUUUAUUACUGAAUUCAUCUCUUGAAUUUAUUUUAUUAGUAAAAUUAAUGUAAAAAAAUAAAAGAUUCAAAUAUGUAUUUUUAUAAAACUUAAAAGGUUUAAGUAUCUAUAGUUUUUGUAUCUAAAUAAAUGUCGGUAAAUGAAAACAAUUGCCCUUGAAAUACAAAGGUUGUGAUUUUUGAGCUUAAUUAGUAGACAGGGUCAUGGGGGUGAGCGGUUCCAGGGGGAAAAUGAAAAAGAAAGAAAGAAAGAGAUAUGUUGACAGGUAGAUGCUGGUAUAAUUGACACUUGUUACAUUUUAAAAGCCAGAAAUAUUAUAUUAAUAAAAAAAUAGAUAAAUUCUUAUAUUUUUAUCACAAGUUUAGGAAUUAAAUUGAUGCUUCAAUCUGAAAUGACUGAAAAUGUGACGAUAACAAAUAGCUUUAUGGAAAUAUGAACUCUAUUUCCUAAAAUUUGAAAUAACAAAUGCCAUGUAAACCAUUUUUUUAUUUUUUUUUACUACAAUCUUCCCAACCUUUGUUGGGCACUGCAAUUGAAGUAAUUUGUUAUCUUUCUCAUAGUAUAGAACCAGAAAAUAGUUCGAUGGUAUAUUCCACACCAGUGCAAGAUUCCUACUUUCCCUUUAUAUAUAUAAUUUGAGAUUAUCCUAAAUGGGUUCGGUCGGAAUGCAUUUGAUUAUGCAUGAAUGAAAAUGGGGUUAUUGCAAGAUUUGACAAGUGCCUAACGUGACUUAUCAAAACAGGCACUUUAGUGCUAAGAACAAAUUUGUAAGCAACCUUUUCUGGACGUAAUUGAUGAAAUAUUGCAACCAUAAUGUAUCCCACUGCAGUUCAGUGUCAAGAUUCUGCCUUGCAUUGUUUGAAAUAUGCCAUAAAUGUUCAUAGUCAACCUUUCUUCAUCAUAUAGGUCAAUCUUUGAAAUAUGCCAUAUUGAAGUAUAUCAUUUGCCACAGAGAAAAGUUAAGCAGCUCAGGUGAAUUCGAUAGAAACGAUUGCAUUAAAAAAUAUAAUUAAUGUUGUUACACUCUAAUGGAGUUUAUACACUCUUGAAAGAAGAGGGGGGAAAAGGUCCUAGCCAUGUGAUAAAUAACAUGUUAAAGAAAGAAUAAAAAAGGACAAUUUUUUCUACUCAAAAGACGCUCAAUCUUCAUUCUUUGAAGAAGUUGAUCUGUUGAUGCAUACUUAUUUUAAAAGCUCUCGAGUUAAUGAUUUUACUGUACAUAUAUAAGAGACCCUGAAAAUUGAUGGUCAAAAUCCUUGUGUCUUGAACAGCCAAAAAGACCUUAAUAUGGUAGUUGCUAAAAAAUGUUAUAUUAUAUAAUCACCACUUGCUGCUCAUUUUGGUCUCCCUUACGCAGUACAUACCAAAAUCUAUUAUAUGGAGAAAAACAUUUACUGAUCUGCACACAUUGCCCCAAUAUCAUAUCACAGGCACAAAUAUCCUUCAGCCACACUGAAUGGUUUAGUGACCAUGAAGAAAAAGAAUAAUUAAAAGAUUUGAUUUUUGUUUUUCAUCCAUGUCAUCCAUGCCAGAAAUUCCACUUGUUGUACCACCUCUGAAACAUGCAUCCAUUACCUUAUUUUUAAAAUACACUCAUUUCUUCCCUUCCAAAACACCAUAUAUAAAACACCACACCACAUACCAUCUAUCUCUCUUUCAUUCCCACCUAUAUAUGGUUUUGAAAUCAGCUCUCUACUUUAUUAAAAUUAUAAUUUAAAAGUCUUUUUUGUCUCUAUCAUACUUUUAAUUUGCAGAAAAGAAAAUUAUGCAAUUGGGACAGUAUAAUGAAUCUGGGUCAUUAUGGAAAAUAUUAUUUUUGUCAAGUAAAAAGUGUUUCAAAACCGUAGUAUCUCUUUUUUCGGUUAUUAGGAUUAUCAUUUUGAUGUUUACUUAAUUGAAAAAGGGCAAUCAAAACUAGGAACGUUGUUUUAAUUUUCAUAUCAUUGUUUCUCCAUAAGUCAAGAGGGUAAGAGAUGCCAAUGGUUCCAUAAUACUUUUUUUUUCUCUAACUCAUUGUUGAUAAAUUAGAUAAGGAUUCUACCUAAACCGCUUGAAAAAAAAAAUACUGCAAAAACCGCUUGAAUAUAAAAUCCCUUCUAGGCCUUAUAGCUGUCUAUAUGUAAUAUUUAAAGAUAAAAACGCCUAAUCAAACUUAUGACUAAGGUUUAGAAGUUGCCAUUUGGCUUUUCUUGAUGGAAACUCAGUCCAACUCAUUCUUGGCUAGUUAGCUGGCUAGCCUGUUUGGAUCCGGUCAGUUAGAAAGCCACACACGUGAAUAAUAUUAAAAUUGAUGAAGAAAACAUUAAUUUUGUCGAAUGCAUCAUUAUUGGAGGUUUUUAUUUAUUGGAGUGAGCUGAAUUAAUUAUUACUAGUUAUUUAUAAUUCUCAUUAUAAAUGGCAGCAAAGACCGUAUCCUAUUUUGUUUUUAGGCAAAUGUUUGGGGGCAUUAGUUAAGGAAUUAAAAAAAUUAAAGAUUGUUCUGAACUUUUUUUUAUAGAGAAAAUGAAAAAUAACUAUGUUGAAGGUACUAAGACGUGCACCCCAUUUCUCACAGUAUAGUCUGUCAGACUAUCAUUUCAUGCAGGGCUUCCUGAUGAUGAUGAACAUCGCCAAAAAUAUAUGGUUGCUUUUGUCUUGCUUAAGAUAUACUAUUAGAGUUCAGAACAAUCUUAAAUACACAAUAUGCAUUUCAAGGUUGCAUUUAUCUGUUACUUUCAAUAUCCAUUAAUAUUUAGUGGGAAGUGUUACUUACAUGAUACAAGAAAAGAUCUUUAGGAAAUCUCUAACCUAAUGGUUUAAAUAUGUUUUGUUCUGUUAUAAAUUUCUGGAUUUUGUUUUUGGUGUCUAAUAAAAAAAAAUUAAAUUUGUUUGGAUAGUGCUUUGAAAAACAAAAUAAAUUUAUUUAAAUAAUACUUUAAGGGGAAAAAAUAAACAAUUAAUUAGGAACCAAAAGUUAAAAAAAAAUAUUAUGGAACAAUAAUAAAAUUCAAAAAUUUAUAAUUAAUUGACCAAAAACAUUGCUAAGUCUAACAUUAAUUUGUCAGUGGAUGAGUUUCAAAUUUUAAAAGUAUUAUGAUUCUUUUUUAGUACACUUCAUUUUUUAACAUUCAAAACUCAAACCUGAAUUCUCUCAUUAACAAAAUUUUAGAAUUUGAAAAGCUUUGACUUACCUGUAAGCUACAUUUUUUAAAAUUCAACAUUCAAAUUGAUUUCUCUCUCUUCAUUUUGUAAAUAAAAGUAUUAAUUACAAAAUUUGAAAAGUAGUAUGACUUCUUUUGUAUAUGCUUCCUUUCUUAAAAUUCAAAUUUUAAAAUUCAAAUCGUAAUCAGUCUCCACCUAGGCCUUUAGGCUCUUGUCUAGGAAUGAAAACAUUAAUUACAAAAUUUUAAAAUUGGAAAAAGUAGUAUAAUUUCUUUUGUAUGUUCCAUUCUUUGAAAUUCAAAAUUCAAAUUGUAUUCUCUCUUCACUUUCAUGUCCUUGCAUGUAAAUGAAAGUAUUAAUUGUAAAAUUCUAAAAUUUGAAAAAUAUUAUGACUUCUUUUGUAUGCUUCAUUAUUUAAAAUUCAAAAUUCAAACUGUAAUUUUUUUUCACUUUCAUCCUCUUGUCUGUAAAUGAAAGUAUUAAUUAAUUACAAAAUUCUAAAAUUUGAAAAGUACUAUGACUUCUUCUGUAUGCUCCAUACUUCAAAAUUCAAACCUACAUCUCUCUUCACUUUAACACUUUUGUCUAUAAAUUAAAGUAUUAAUUACAAAUUUUUAAAAGUAUUAUGACUUCUUUUGUAUGGUAUUAUGGUUUCUCUAUGCACUCCAUUUUAAAAAACUCAAAUUUCAAAAUUCAAACCCUAUUUUCUCUCCACUUUCAUGCCCUUGGUUGUGAAUGAAAGUAUUAAUUGCAAAAUUUUAAAAUUUCAAAAAUAUUAUGACUUCUUUUGUACGCUUCAUUCUUUAAAAUUUAAAAUUCAAAAUGUAAUCUCCCUCCACCUUCACACUCAUGUUUGUAGAUGAAAGUAUUAAUUUGAAAAGUGUUAUGACUUCUUGAGUAUGCUUCAUUAUCUCCACUUUCACACUCUUGUCUAUAAAUGAAAGCAUUAAUUGCAAAAUUUUAAAAUUUAAAAAAUAUUAUGACUUCUUUUGUACCUCCAUUCUUUAAAAUUUAAAAUUCAAAAUGUAAUCUCCCUCCACUUUCACACUCAUGUUUGUAGAUGAAAGUAUUAAUUUGAAAAGUAUUAUGACUUCUUCUUUAUGCUUCAUUCUCUCCACUUUCACACUCUUGUUUAUAGAUGAAAACAUUAAUUACAAAAUUUUAAAAAGUAUUAUGACUUCUUUUACAUGCUCCCUUUAUUAAAAUUCAAAAUUCAAAUUGUAUUCUCUCUCCACUUUCAUGCCCUUAUUGUACAUGAAAGUAUUAAUUGUAUAAUUUUAAAAUUUAGAAAAUAUCAUGACUUCUUUUUUAUGCUCCAUCAUUUGAAAUUCAAAAUCCAAACAAUAAUCUUUCUCCACUUGCAUCCUCUUGUUUGUAGAUGAAAGUAUUAAUCAAUUACAAAAUCCUAAAAUUUGAAAAGUGUUAUGACUUCUUUCAUGUGUUCCAUUCUUUAACAUUCAAGCCGACCUCUCUCCCCACUUUAACACUUAUGUCUAUAAAUUAAAGUAUUAAUUACAACAUUUGAAAAUAUUAUGACUUCUUUGGUAUGGUACGAUGGUUUCUAUGCGCACUCCACUUUUUAAAUUUUCAAAAUUCAAACGGUAAUUUUUCUUCACUUUCAUCAUCUAUUCUAUAAAUGAAAGUAUUAAUUGCAAAAUUUUAAAUUUUGAAAAAUAUUAUGACUUCUUUUGUAUGUUUCAUUCAUGUUUUUUAUGUACCAUAUCUUUUGUAUAAUUGAGCAUUCUAUUUUAUUUCUUCUAUAUAUACUAAAACCAAGGAUUUAAAGAAAAAUAUAAAAUUUUGCAAGUGAUUUAAUUAAUUAAAUUUUUUAAUGGCACUAGUUCUUUAAUUUUAGAUAGAAAUCAAGAAUAAUAAGUUUAUAGGUCGAGUGGUCCUGAGCUCCAACCUCUUGUGGAUGAAAAAAGUGAUUUGAAAUAUAAAAAAAAACUUAUUAAAAAUUAUUAAAUUUUUCGAUGAAAAGUAAUAAUCAAUGUAUUCCGCACUCAAUGUUAUGUGAUGCGAAAAACAAUUAAAUACGAAGAGCAAUUCAUUCAUAGGAGAAAAAAAAAACUAGAAACUAUAGCAUUGAAAGGCAUGGAUAACAUUGAUGGAGCAUCUCUAAAACAAUAAUCACUAUUUAAAUGAGAUAAGAGAGUAUCAAAUAUCCAGCUACAACUUGAUUUUUGGUUCUCUCAACCAUCGUACAUUAUUUUUUCCAUUGAUAGCAAGAAUACCUACAUGGAUCGUCUUGUUUAAUAAACCAUGAGCACUUGUUGCAAUCACCAUCCCUAACUUGUACGUACAGAUCAAAUGAGUGAUGGGCACCUUCCCAUUGAAAGGAACAAUUACUGAAUAAUGGUUCCGUUCCAAAUUCGUUAUUAUAAUAAUCAGGAGAAAAGUUCCACUCGUAGUGUAAGCACCGGGGGUGAGAACGUGUGGUUGAGUAUCCAUCUUGCAGGAAACAGUUAAGUCUAGAAUUCCCAAAUCAUUUGUAACCCUAAUAUGUGCCUUCUCUGCCAUAGUAUUGUUCAACGUUGAUAAUAACAACACACCAGUAGUGUGGAAACACUUCUAGCAAAUAGCCAAAUAAAGACAUUGUUAUCUUCGAUCUGCUACUGCUUUUCCUUUUUCUUUUACUGUGAAUCUUUUCAUUACUUUAUAUAUAUAUAUAUAUAUAUAUAUAUAUAUAUAUAUAUAUAUAUAUAUAUAUAUAUAUAUAUAUAUAUAUAUAUAUAUAUAUAUAUAUAUAUAUAAAAAAAAAAAAAAAAAAAAAGAUAUAUAUAUAUAUAUAUGUGUAUAUAAAUAAAUAUAAAUAUAUAUAUAUAUAUGAAUGUAUAAUAUUCAAAGAGGCCUGUUUAUAAUUAAAAUACAUAAAUAUUAAGCAAACUAAAAAAUAUUUAAAUGUUCAGUCAAACUAAUAUUAGUAUAUAUUAAUUUUUGGUUGUUGCAAAAAUAAUAUUAAUUUUCGGUUGAAUUACUUUUUUAUCCCUUAAUUAAUUUAUCAGGAUUUUUUUUUAAAAUCAAUUAUUGUAAAAAAAUAUCAAUUAAGGAUCAUUUCCUUUUAUUUUCAAUGAGAAAGGCUUGGAGAGUAUGUUAUUAUAGAAUCUGAACCUAUUCUGAUUCUCAUUAAUAUAAUUUGCACGCAUAUAUAUAUAUAUAUAUAUAUAUAUAUAUAUAUAUAUAUAUGCUUUGACAGUAAUUUUCAAAUAACUCCUACAAUUUCUCAUACAAAAUUCCUAAAUAGCCAAAUCAAAGAUAUGGAUCAUUCCCUAUUUCCAAAAUAUCCUUAAUUAGGAACACCUAUCCCAAAUAUCACAAUUAAAUACAAUUUCGGUCAUCGUGUUGAUUAUAAUCUCAAAAAUCGGUUAGAGCAGUACAAAUCUUGCAAUUUUUUUAAAAAAGGAUACAAAUCUUUAAAAUAUUAGAGACAAAUUUUACAAAUAUCACAUUAGUUAUCACUGGUUAACAUGCAGACGCAUUUAGCAAAAAAUAAUUGAAUGAAGAAACAUUUUUGUAUUAGGUCUAAUUAAAAACAAUCAUGAAAAUAUAAUGAUUAAAAAUAACAACACAAAAAGUCAACAUCUUAAUGUUGGUAAAACAAUAUUAACUAUUUUUUAGAAUUAUUAUUUAAAGUCUUGUUAUUAAAGGUUUUUAAAGUAUUAAUGGGAAAUGAAUCACUAGCUAGUAAGUUUUAUUAAAAAUAUGUUCAAAUUAUAUUUUAAAAAAUUAUAGAUAUUCUUUUAUAAAUUUUUUUUUUAAUUUUUUAAUUAGUUUUUUCAAAGAUAUUUACUAACAUUCUUCCUUAUUAAUUUAGUUAUAAAUACCUUUGAAUGACAUUUUCCCUCAAAAAAUAUAUAUAUUUAAAUGACAUUAAUUUUUUUCUUUAUUUUUAAAAUUGUUGUAAAGGUUGAAUAUGAGCUGUUUUUCAAAAUAUCGUUGAAUGACAUAAAUAUUUUUCUUUAUUUUAACAAAUGAAGGUUGAAUGAGUUUUAUUUUUUAUCCCAAGUCAUAUUUAUAUAUUUUAACAUAAAGAUCAACACAGUUAGAGAAAGUGUGUGAGAAGAAAGAUUGUAAAAUAAAGUCAUUUUAUUAAGAGAAAAGUUUUGUGAGAAUAUUAUCAUUUUUUGUAACCAUUGAGUGAAGUAAAAUACUUUUUGAGACGAUUAUGUGAAUAUAAAUAAGAAGUGUUGAAUCACGUUAAAUUAUUGUGUUUAUUAUUAUUUUUUUAUGGUAUAAUCUUUGUUGUCUUCUUACUAUUUUUCGUAAGUGUGAGUAUUUUUGUUGGUAAGGACGUUGAUUUCCCGAUAGAAACCACAUUAAAAAUAAUAAUUAUAUAUCCAUAGGAAAAAAAAAAGAAGAAAAAAAGUCAUUCAACUAGCUAUUCACUCAAACCUUUAUUUCUCAUGAAAUUUUCAUUCUUUCCUAAUGUCAGAAACAUACUCAAUUUUAUAAUGAAAUCAAAAGUAAUUCUCUAGCAUACAGAAAGCUUGAACUCAAUUUUCAAAGCAAUGAUGAAUAAUAUUAACCCAAAUAGAGAUCACUCUUUUAUUUAGAAGAUAUAAGAGGGAAAUAUCUUGUUACAACUAAGUUCUCAACCCUACAUGCAUGUAGAAUUUAAGAACAUGUGUUAAGAUAAAAACAUAUUUUAAAACUAAUUAUAGCAAGCAAAUUCCUGGUUGGGAAAACGAAACCUACAUGGUCCCUUUUCUCUUAUAUGCCAUUUGCACUCUUCGCAAUCAGAAUCUCGAGUUGGAUCAUACAUAUCAAAGGUGUGAGCAGCACCUUCCCAUGCAAAGAAGCAAAGGAAUGGUCGAAGUGUAGGUGUAAUAUCACCAGAAUAACCAAAUAGAUGUUGGUCACCAGGGCGAAGAUGAAUAUACGGGUGCAGCAGUUUAGGAUAAAAAUAGGGACAAUAAAUGGUUAAAUUCAAACUUCCAUUAUCCAAAUUAUUUGUAACUACAACCAUUUUCACGUACACCCCCACAGCACUGCUUUUUGGUGACAAAAAAAGGAUAAGCAACCAUAGUAAUGAUAGUAUGGAGGCAAAGAAAGACAUAAUCCUUUUUUCUUGAAGAUAUAAGAUAAAUGUGUGUUUGUGAGAGGUUUUUAUAGUUAAAAUACAUGAUGAGAUUCGAAAGAAAAAAAAACAAAACUAUUCAACGUUUACAUUUGUUACAAUAAAGAAAAAAGUUAAUGUAUUGAAUGAUAGUUUUAAAAACAACUGAUUACCUUAACAGCAGAUUUAAAAAUAAAGAAAAAUUAAUACCGUUCAAAGAUAUUUCAUGAUAUAUUUUGAAAAAAUAAUUUAUUAUGACUCUUUUCAAUAAGAUCUUAUAAAAUAAUUCAAAAUUGUUUUUUCAAUAUAUGUAAUUAUGUCAAUAAAUAUUUAUGUUCUUAAUGCUCCGUAAUAUUCCCAUGACAUAUUUUAAUAUAAUAGACAAAUUUGUUAAGAUAAUUAAAUCAAUUUUCUCACAACAACUAACCAGUGACUCUGGUAGGGAUGGCUUCUACCAAUUCAUCUCAUGCUUUUUAUUCUCAGUGUUGUCGCUAUAUGUUUAUGAAUGCUAUUGAAUCCUUUCACUCUGUCACUUUACCGUCUGCGAAUGAUGCCACCGAUGCUGACCCACCUCCAUUGACCGCGGAUACUCCAUCGCGGUUUGCUCGAUUGUUCACCAAAACAUCUUUUCAGGCAACCAUGAAUGAUGUUUUGAGGCCAUUCUUGUGCAAAUUUAUCCUUGUAUUCUGAUAUAUAGCCUUCAUUGGCACACCCAUUUUUAUCUCAAAUCUGCCAAAUGUGACUUUGGUAUUUACACAUGCAGUAGCAUACUUGGGGCAUAUCAUAUAUAUCUCAGUCUGGCGUUGCAGCUGACCCUGAGAAGCUUUUGGGGUAUGAAUAUGAAAUCCUUUACAUUCUGGGGCGUGCCAAUGCAUUAUCACGUGAUGGAUGGCACAGGAUAUAUGUCAAGACAUUUGUGCAAGUCAAAAUAUUAAAUUAAAAAUGAAAGCAAACUAAAUUUAUUAGUAAUUAAUAAAAAAUUAUUUAUGAUUUUGAACUCAUAAAUAAUUUAUAACUUCUUAAACAAAAAUAUAUAUUUUUUCAAAUACUUAUUACUUCAAAAUCAUAUUUAAAAAAAUCAUAAAAAUUUUUACGAUUUUAAUAGGAAAAAAAAUUAUAUUUAUAAAAAAAUUAUGAUUUUUUACUCAAAAUCUUAUCCUAUAACUUUUUUUUCAAAAUUAAUUUAAAUUUUAUUUUUAUUUGAUAAUUUAGAAAAAAAAACUACACACUUAUUGAUGGAUUUGUCCACUCUUUGCAAUUAGAAUCCUGAGUUGGAACGUACAUAUUAAAAGAAUGAAAGGCACGUCGUCCUUGCCAUUUAAACCUUGUAGAUGGAAUAUCACCACAAUAAUUCCAUAGAUGGUGAGUACCGGGUUGGAUCAAUAUUGGGACAAGAAACGGUAAUCUUUCUCCAUUUUUAAAAUUUUUAAAUUUUAAGUAUCUAUAGUUUUUGUAUCUAUAACUUUUAAUAUAUACGGAUUAAAUAAUUCGUAUGAUUUAUAUUAAAAUUAAUUAUCACAAAAUUUAUUAUUUAAAUUUACAUGCGUAUUAAAUAAGAAACUUAUGAAAGAAUUUCUUCCAUAAAAUAUAAAAAACUUACGAAAUAAGUGAGGGGGCAAAAUUGAACAAAAUGUAAAAUAUUGGAUGCAUAGUAAUAUUGUCACCAGUAAUAUUGUUGGGUGUACUUACCAACAUUCUUCUGAUUUUUUAACUUAAUUAGUAGACACCCGACUCACCGGAGGUGAGCGUUUCCAGGAAAAAUGAAAAAGAAAGAAAGAAAAAGAUAUGUUGACAGGUAGAUGCUGGUAUAAUUGACACUUGUUACAUUUUAAAAGCCAGAAAUAUUAUACUAAUAAAAAAUAGAUAAAUUUUUAUAUUUUAAUCACAAUUUUAGGAAUUAAAUUGAUACUUCAAUCUGAAAUUACCGAAAAUGUGACGAUAACAAAUAGCUUUAUGGAAAUAUGAACUCUAUUUCCUAAAAUUUGAAAUAACGAAAGCCAUGUAAACCUUUUUUUUUUUGUAUUUUACUACAAUCUUCCAAACCUUUGUUGGGCACUGCAAUUGAAGUAAUUUGUUAUCUUUCUCAUAGUAUAGAACCAGAAAAUAGUUCGAUGGUAUAUUCCACACCAGUGCAAGAUUCCUACUUUCCUUUUAUAUAUAUAAUUUGAGAUUAUCCUAAAUGGGUUCGGUCGCAAUGCAUUUGAUUAUGCAUGAAUGAAAAUGGGGUUAUUGCAAGAUUUGACUAGUGCCUAACGUGACUAAUCAAAACAGGCACUUUAGUGCUAUGAACAAAUUUGUAAGCAACCUUUUCUGGACGUAAUUGAUGCAAUGCAACCAUAAUGUAUCCCAGUGCAGUUUAGUGCCAAGAUUCUGCCUUGCAUUGUUUGAAAUAUGCAAUAAAUUAAUGUUCAUAGUCAAUCUUUCUUCAUCAUAUAGGUCAAUCUUUGAAAUAUGCCAUAUUAUCAUUUGCCACAGAGAAAAGUUAAGCAGCUCUGUUGAAUUCGAUAGAAACGAUUGUAUUAAAAAAAUAUAAUUAAUGUUGUUACACUCUAAUGGAGUUUAUACACUUUUGAAAGAAGAGGGGAAAAGUUCCUAGCCAUGUGAUAAAUAACAUGUUAAAGAAAGAAAGAAAAAAAAAAGGAUAAUUUUUUCUACUCAAAAGACGCUUAAUCUUCAUUCUUUGAAAAAGUUGAUCUGUUGAUGCAUACUUAUUUCAAAAACUCUCGAGUUAAUAAUUUCACUGUACAUAUAUAAGAGAUCCUGAAAAUUGAAGAUCAAAAUCCUUGUGUCUUUAAUUAUGGUAGUUACUAAAAAAUGUUAUAUUUCUCUACGUUGUUUUAAUCGAAAUCACUCUCUUAUUAAUUCAAACAACAGAGGUGUGCAUGCUUCAUACGUAAUCACCACUUUUUGCUGCUCACUUUGGUCUCCCUUACGAAGUACAUACCAAAAUCUAUUAUAUAUAUAUAUGGAGAAAAACAUUUACUGAUCUGCACACAUUACCCCAAUAUCAUAUCACAGGCACAAAUGUCCUUCAGCAACACUAAAUGGUUUAGUGACCAUGAAGAAAAAGAAUAAUUAAAAGAUUUAUUUUUGUCUUUCAUCCAUGCCAGAAAUUCCACUUGUUGUACCACCUCUGAAACAUGCAUCCAUUACCUUAUUUUUAAAAUACACUCAUUUCUAGCUUCCCUUCCAAAACACCAUAUAUAAAACACCACACCACAUACCAUCUAUCUCUCUUUCAUUAAUCCCACCUAUAUAUGGUUUUGAAAUUAGCUCUCUACUUUAUUAAAAUUAUAAUUUUAAAGUCUCUUUUGUCUCUCUAUCAUACUUUUAAUUAGCAGAAAAGAAAAUUAUGCAAUUGGGACAGUAAUGAAUCUGGGCCAUUAUGGAAAAUCUUAUUUUUGUCAAGUAAAAAGUGUUUCAAAACCGUAGUAUAUAUCUCUUUUUCCGGUUAUUAAUUAGGAUUAUCAUUUUGAUGUCUACUUAAUUGAAAAAGGGCAAUCAAAACUAGGAACGUUGUUUUAAUAUCCAUAUCAUUGUUUCUCCAUAAGUCAAUGUGUAAGAGAUGCCAAUGGUUCCAUAAUAUAUACUUUUUUUUUCUCAAACUCAUUGUUGACAAAUUAGACAAGGAUCCACCUAAACCGCUUGAAAAAAAAAAUACUGCAAAAACCGCUUGAAUAUAAAAUCCCUUCUAGGCCUUAUAGCUGUCUAUAUGUAGUAUUUAAAGAUAAAAACGCCUAAUCAAACUUAUGACUAAGGUUUAGAAGUUGCCAUUUGGCUUUUCUUGAUGGAAACUCAGUACAACUCAUUCAUGGGUAGUUAGCUGGCUAGCCUGUUUGGAUCCGGUCAGUUAGAAAGCCACACACGUGAGUAAUAUUAUAAUUGAUGAAGAAAACAUUAAUUUUUUCAAAUGCAUCAUUAUUAUUGGAGGUUUUUUUUUUUGGAGUGAUCGAGCUGAAUUAAUUAUAACUAGUUGUUUGAUUCUCAUUAUAAAUGGCAGCAAAGACCGUAUCCUAUUUUUUUUAGGCAAAUGUUUGGGGGCAUUAGUUGAAGAAUUAAAAAAAUUAAAGAUUGCUCUGAACUUUUUUUUUAUAGAGAAAAUGAAAAAUAAUUCUGUUGAAGGUACUAAGACGUGCUCCCCAUUUCUCACAGUAUAGUCUGUCAGACUAUCAUUUCAUGCAUGGCUUCCUGAUGAUGCUGAACAUCGCCAAAAAUACAUAUAUGGUUGCUUUUGUCUUGCUUAUACUAUUAGAGUUCAGAACAAUCUUAAAUACAUGAUAUGCAUUUCAAGGUUGCAUUUACCUGUUACUUUCAAUAUCCAUUAAUAUUUAGUGGAAAUUAUACAAGAAAAGAUCUUUAGGAAAUCUCUAACGUAAUGGUUUAAAUAUGUUUUGUUCUGUUAUAAAUUUCUGGAUUUUGUUUUUGUGUCUAAUAAAAGAAUUUAAAUUUGAAUGGAUAGUGCUUUGAAAAACAAAAUAAAUUUAUUUAAAUAAUACUUUAAGGGGAAAAAUAAACAAUUAAUUAGGAACCAAAGUAAAAAAAAUAUUAUGUAACAAUAAUAAAAUUCAAAAAUUUAUAAUUGACCAAAAACAUACCUAAAUCUAACAUUAAUUUGUCUGUGGAUGAGUUUCAAAUUUUAAAAGAAUUAUGACUUCUUUUUUAGUACACUUCAUUUUUUUUAGCAUUCAAAAUUCAAAUCGAAUUCUCUCACACUUUUGUUAAUAACAAAAUUUUAAAAUUUGAAAAGUAUUCACAUAUACUAUAAGCUACAUUUUUUAAAAUUCAAAAUUUAAACAUACUUCUAUCCCUUAAUAUAAAAUUCAAAGUAUUAAUUACAAUAUUUGAAAAGUAGUAUGACUUCAUUUAUAUAGUAUUAUGGUUUCUUUCAUAUACUAAUUAUAAAAUAUUAAUUAUAAAAUUUUAAAAUUUGUAAAAGCAGUAUAAUUUUUGUUGUACACUCCAUUUUUUUAAUUUAAAAUUCAAAUUGUAUUUUGUCUUCACUUUCAUGUUCUUGUAUGUAAAUGAAAAUAUUAAUUGUAAAAGUUUAAAAUUUGAAAAAUAUUAUGACUUCUUUUAUAUGCUCCACUUUAAAAUUCAAAAUUUAAACAGUAAUUUUUCUUCACUUUCAUCCUUUUAUCUGUAAAUGAAAGUAUUACUUAAUUACAAAAUUUUAAAUUUUGAAAAGUGUUACGACUUCUUCGGUAUGUUCCUUUAAAAAUCAAAUGACCUCUCUAAUCACUUAAAUGACCUCUCUAAUCACUUUAACACUCUUAUCUAUGGAUUAAAGUAUUAAUUACAAAUUUUGAAAAAUAUUAUGACUUCUUUUGUAUGGUAUCAUGAUUUCUUUAUGCACUUCAUUUUUUAAAAUUUAAAUUUCAAAAUUCAAAUCAUAUUCUCUCUUCACUUUCAUACCCUUGUUUGUGAAUGAAAGUAUUAAUGGUAAAAUUUUAAAAUUUUAAAAAUAUUACCACUUCUUUUGUACAUUUCAUUCUUUAAAAUUUAAAAUUCAAAAUGUAAUCUCCCUCCACUAUGUUUGUAGAUGAAAGUAUUAAUUAUAAAAUUCUAAAAUUUGAAAAGUGGUAUGACUUCUUCAUUAAGUUUCGUUCUUUCCACUUUCACACUCUUGACUAUAAAUAAAAACAUUAAUUACAAAAUUUUAAAAAGUAUUAUGCCUUCUUUUCUAACUUUCAUAUUUUAAAAUUAAAAAUUUAAAUUGUAUUCUUUCUUCACUUUCAUGUCCUUUUGUAUAUAAAUGAAAGUAUUAAUUGUAAAAUUUUAAAAUUUGAAAAAUAUUACGAAUUCUUUUGUGUGCUCUCCUUUAAAAUUCAAAAUUUAAAUUGUAAUUUUUAUUCACUUUCAUCCUCUUGUCAAUGGAAGAAAGUAUUAAUUAAUUACAAAAUUUUAAAAUUUGAAAAGUGCCACUGCUUCUUUUUUUAUGUGUUCCAUACUUUAAAAUUCAAAUUGUCUCUCUAUUCAAACUUAUCAAACAGUAAUCUUUCUCCACUUGCAUCCUCUUAUUUGUAAAUCAAAGUAUUAAUUAAUUAAUAAAUCCUAAAAUUUGAAAAGUGUUAUGGCUUCUUCCAUGUGUUCCAUUCUUUAACAUUCAAGCUGACCUUUCUCUCUCUCUACUUUAACACUAUUUUUGCACAUGAAAGCAUUAAUUACAAAAUUCUAAAAUUUGAAAAGUGUUAUGGCUUCUUUAUGCUUCAUUUUGUCCACUUUCACACUCUUGUCUAUAAAUGAAAGUAUUAAUUAUAAAAUUUUAAAAAUUAUUAUGACCUCUUUUGUGUGGUCCAUUUUUUAAAAUUCAAAAUUCAAUUUGUAUUCUCUCUCCACUUUCAUGUCCUUGUAUGUAAAUGAAAGUAUUAAUGGUAAAAUUCUAAAUUUUUAAAAAUAUCAUGACUUCUUUUUUAUGCUCCAUCGUUUGAAAUUCAAAAUUCAAACAGUAAUCUUUCUCCACUUGCAUCCUCUCGUUUGUACAUGAAAGUAUUAAUUACUUACAAAAUCCUAAAAUUUGAAAAGUGUUAUGGCUUCUUGCAUGUGUUCCAUUCUUUAACAUUCAAGCCGACCUCUCUCUCCACUUUAACACUUUUGUCUAUAAAUUAAAGUAUUAAUUAUAACAUUUGAAAAUAUUAUGACUUCUUUUGUAUGGUAUGAUGGUUUCUUUGUGCACUCCACUUUUUAAAUUUUCAAAAUUCAAACUCUAUUUUUUCGUCACUUUCAUCAUCUUGUCUAUAAAUGAAAGUAUUAAUUGCAAAAUUUUAAAUUUUGAAAAAUAUUGCGACUUCUUUUGUAGGUUCCAUUCGUGUGUUUUUAUGCACCAUAUUUUUUUAUACAAUUGAGCAUUCUUUUGUAUAUCUUCUAUGAGUAAAUAGGCAUUUUGGUCCAUGACUUUUGACUCAUUUUGUAAAUUAGUCCCUAUCUUUUUUAAAUGUAAAAAUAAUCUCUAUCUUUGUAUAAGUUUUGCAAAAUAGUCUUUGCCAAAUUUGAAAGUAAUGUCGUUAGUGAGGUGUAUUGUUGGUAAUUUUAGUGCCACAUAGAUUAUCCAACGUGUUACAAAUUAUCCCAAAUUAUGACACAAAGAGUCUUCACAAAGAACCCACAAUUUGUGCCAAACAACAUUAAGUAUGAAAGAACAAGAAGAGGAACAAUAACAACCAAGCAUAAUUUUCAAAGGAAAAUAUAAAAUUUUGCAAGUGAUUUAACUAAUUAAAUUUUUUAAUGGCACUAGUUCUUUAAUUUUAGAUAAAAAUCAAGAAUAAUAAGUUUAUAGGUCGAGUGGUCCUGAGCUCCAACCUUUUGUGGAUGAAAAAAGUGAUUUGAAAUAAAAAAAAUUUAUUAAAAACUAUUAGAUUUUUCGAUGAAAAGUAAUAAUCAACGUAUUCUGCACUCAAUGUUAUGUGAUGCUAAAAACAAAGAAAUACCAAGAGCAAUUCAUUCAUAAGAGAAAAAAACUAGAAAUUAUAGCAUUGAAAAGCAUGGAUAACAUUGAUGGAGCAUCUCUAAAACAAGAAUCACUCUCUAUUUAAAUGAGAUAAGAGAGAAUCAAACAUGUCACUGGGGAUCUAGAAACUGAGUUUGAUACCCAUGUUUUUCUCUUAAAGGGACUUCCAAGAACCAACCCUAUUAGUAUAUUAGGUAUGUAUUAUUCUAAUAUUCUAUUUUACAUGUUUAUAUAUAUGCCAAACUUCAUUAAUUGUUUGUUUGCAUGUCACAAUGAUACACGUAGCAUAUGUAAUAAUUAUACUUUAGUGAAUGAAAAUCACAUUAUGCUAAUACGGUUCUCUGAAAAUCAUUUUAGAUGUCAACAUUCUACACGAUUUUUGAUGANNNNNNNNNNNNNNNNNNNNNNNNNNNNNNNNNNNNNNNNNNNNNNNNNNNNNNNNNNNNNNNNNNNNNNNNNNNNNNNNNNNNNNNNNNNNNNNNNNNNUUUUUGGAUAAUAAACGUCUUAGGAUGAUAUUGUUUUUCUAAAACGGUUAUCCAUGGAACCAUCGUAGAAAAUAUAGACUUUUAACGACGUUGACUAUGAUGACGAAUAAUAACAGAUGUAGAAAAUGUAAAUUUACCCGACAUAAAAAGUGUUUUUCGUAGUAGUAUACUAAAUACUUCAAGACCUUAUUAAUUGAAAUUUAAAUGAUAACUUAAAAAGUAAUAUUGUUACAUUCUCUUACAAAAUGUCCUUAUGCUUUAAAGAUAUUAUUAAAUUUCAACUAAAAUGUCCUUAUGAGUGCCUACUUUUGAUCCCAACAUUGCUAAUAGUUGAUAGUAAAUAAGAGUAUAUUUAAGAAGAAGAAAAACAUUAAUUAAUUAAACAUUAUAACAACAAUUGUUUUGAGUAAAAUAAAAAGUAAAAAACUAAAAUCAAAGUUAUAAAAUUUGGUUCGAGCAUUGAUUCGGUUGAGGUAAUGGUAAUGGAUUAGUAGUCCAAUUGGUGGAUCAGUACUUGAAUCGGUUUGAUCCAGUAUAUAUUAAAAUAUUCAAAAUUAUAUAUUUAUCUACUAUAUAAAAGUAUAUAACUAUCAUUAUUUGAUUAAGAAAAGUUUAUUCAUAUUUUAAAAUCCAAAAUAACAAUUAAAGUAUUAAAGUAAAUGUGCAAAUUUUUGCAUUAUCAACUAAUAAGAAGUUAUGAAUCAAAUAACUUUAAAGAUAAUUGUUGUGUAAGUUAAUAAACUUUCUACCAUCAAAGUUUUUUUAUUGAAUGAUAGUAUAAUUUUUUUUUUACUUCAAAGUAUGUAAAAUUAGAUGUUAUUUUAUAAAAUCAACUGAGAUACUAAAUAUUUUUUCUAUAAAAUAUCUUUUUGGUGUAAGUAGUUGUUAUUUUGUAGCAAACAAGAAAAAAAAUCUAAUUAAUAAGAUAGAUAAAAGAUAUAUAAAGAAGUUACAUAUUCCCUUUGUUUCAUUAAAAUUGUUAUGCUAACUAGGUUAUUGAGAAAUGUUAAUACUAUUCUCUAUGUGAUUGGUUGAAAUUUAUUGAAAAUAAUAAAUUUUGGUCGGUUUUACAUCUAAAUCAGGAAAAAGAAUCAUUAAAUAAGAUAUAAGAUCCAUCAAAAUUAAUGAUUUUUAAUAAAUUUUAAAUAAAAAAUAUUAGAAGAGUGUAACUAAUAUUUUUCAAAUUAACAAAAAAUGAAGAUACUCCCUUUGUCACAUUAUAAUGUCAUCAAAGGAACCUAGAAAAAUCAAUAAAUGUAUCAAUUUAUAUAUGAUUUUUUUUAAAAAUUUUAACUUGUUAAUUUUGUUAGAAAUGAUAGUUGGAGGACUUAACCCGCAACCUCUUUCCCCCUUUUCUCUUCCCCAAGAGGUGAACUAACAUUAUAUCUCCAUCAUUGUAAAUGAUAUAAUUUUUAAAAAUUAAUUAAUAUUACAUUGAAAGACUAAAAUAAUAAAUAUUUUAAGACUUAUUUUUUCUUCUUACUCCACAUAUAUUAUGGGAUGAAUGAAGUAUCAUUUUUAUAAUAUUAAUUUUAUUAUCAUUAAUUCAUUUUUUUAAUUUUUGUUGUUCAUAACUAAUACUCUCUCUGUUUCAGAUUAUUAAUGUUUGAGGUUUUGACACACAUAUUAAAGAAUGUAAUUGAUUUGUUGACUUUCAAAGAAAAUAAUAGAUAACUUUCUAAUAUACUCUUUGUAUAUCUAAUUAAUCACUUGUUUACUAUUCAAAUACACUACUCCCAUUAAAUAUUGAUUAAGAAUAGUCUUAAAAAAAUAUUGAUUCAUUAUUGAUUUUGUAAAAUAACAUUCAUUUUAAAAUAUUUUUUAUUUAAAAUGUUAUAUAAUAUGGAACAAAUAGAAUAUUAUAAGAAAUAUAAAUGAAAAAAAUAACUAAUGUUAGAUUGAUAAAUUAAGAUAGCAAUUAUUAGUUUCAGAGUUUAUCUUUUACUACACAAUAAUUAUUGUGAAAGUAAUAUAUUUAUGAAAUUAAAAAUUAUAAAUAAUUUUUUUCAUAUUUGUACCAAAAAAUUUAUAUGUCAUACAAAAUAAAAGAGACUAAUUCCACAAUGUCAUUUAAUUUGGUCAAUAAGUGACAUCAAUAUCAUUUAUCUCCAUUAAAUGCAUAAUAUUAAUGUUUCCAUUAUAACACUUCUUUAAUUUUUUGGAAAUAAGUAGCAUCAGAAUCAUUUAUACCCAUUAAAUGAAUAUAUUUAAUGUUUCCAUUGUAACGCUUCUUUUCCAAUACAAUCAAGAGAAUUGUAAAGAUAAAUGGAGAUCUAUAGUCGUUAAAGGCAGGAAUUUUAUAAAUAAAUAAAAUAUAUUCUGUUUAAUCAAUUGAAAAAUCUACAUACAUGAUUAAUAUAAAAUAUUUUAAACCGGUGUUUAGGGUUUAUUACAUAUUAAUAAUAAAUAAGAAGACAAGGAAAAAUUAUUAAAUCAUAUGAAAAAUGUAUAAAAAUAUUUUAUAUGUAUAUAAGUUAAAUUAAAUUAUUUUAAAAAUAUCAUUAACACAUUUUAUCUAUAAUUUUAGUGCAAUCUUAUUAUAAUUAUAAUAAUACCUUAUUAAUUUUUAAUUAAUUAUUCCAAGACUCAUUGACAAAACCUUCCAAAAUAAUUUAAAUAUAAUUAAUAUUUGAUUACCCUCCUUUACAUGUUGACUUUAUGGUUGCAUGACAUCACUUUGAUGACCAGUAACAUUAACAACAUUUAAAUGCAUAAUUUUAACGUUUUAACAUUUUUUUUAUCAUAAUUUCUAUCUUUACCAGAAUCCUAUUAUAAUUAUAAUAAUAAUUUAUUAAUUUUUAAUUAAUUAUUUCAAGACUCAUUGACAAAACCUUACAAAAUAAUUCAGAUAUAAUUAAUAUUUGAUUACCAUCCUUAUCAGAAUCCUAUUAUAAUUAUAAUAAUAACUUAUUAAUUUUUAAUAGACUCAUUGACAAAACCUUACAAAAUAAUUCAAAUAUAAUUAAUAUUUGAUUACCAUCCUUUACAUGUUGACUUUAUGGUUGCAUGACAUCACUUUGAUGACCAGUGACAUUAACAACAUUUAAAUGCAUGAUUUUAAUGUUUUAACACUUUUUUUUUUAUCAGAAUUGCUAUCUUUACCCAAAAAAAAGUGUUUUGCACGAAUAGUAUGAAUGGACACGUGUAAUUUUUUAAUGAUAGCAAUGAGUAAUUAAUUGUAUUUAUCGAAAAUCAAGUGGUUAAUACUACCAAUCAAAACUAUUCAUGUGUCCCCUUCACACACAAAAAAAAUAUUCAUGUUUUCUUUUGUAUAUCUUCUAUACAUACUAAAACCAGGUAUUUAAAGGAAAAUAUAAAAUUUUGCAAGUGAUUUAAUUAAUUAAAUUUUUUAAUGGCACUAGUUCUUUAAUUUUAGAUAGAAAUCAAGAAUAAUAAAUUUAUAGGUGGACUGAUCUUGAACUCCAUUCUCUUCGGGAUGAAAAAAGUGAUUUGAAAUAUAAAAAAGAAAAACUUAUUAAAAACUAUUAAAUUUUCCGACGAAAAGUAAUAAUCAACAUAUUUUACACUCAAUGUUAUGUGAUGCUAAAUCACUCUUUAUUUAAAAUAGAUAAGAGAGGAUAAAAUAUCCAGCUACAACUUGAUUUUUGGAUCUGAAACAUCGUACAUUUAAGUUUUCCAUUGAUAGCAAGCAAACCUUAAAUUACCCGUAUACCUACAUGCAGCGUCUAGUUUAAUAUGCCAUGAGCAAUUGUUGCAAUCACCAUCCCUAACAAGUACGUAGAGAUCAAAUGAGUGAUGGGCACCUUCCCAUUGAAAGGAACAAUUACUGAAUAAUGGUUCCGUUCCAAAUUCGUCAUUAUAUUCAGGAGAAAACUUCCACUCAUAGUAAUCAGUGGGGCCGAGAAGGUGUGGAUGAUUAUCAAUCUUGCAGGAAACAGUUAAGUUUCGACUUCCCAAAUUAUUUGUAACCCCAAUAAGUGCCUUCUCUGCCAUAGUAUUGUUCAACGUUGGUAAUAACAAUAUAAGCACCAGUAGUGUGGAAACACUUCUAGCAAAUAAAGACAUUGUUAUCUUCGAUCUGCUACUGCUUUUUCUUUUUCUUCAAAUGUGAAUCUUUUCAUUACUUCAUAUAUAUAUAUAUACACGCUACGAGUAAAAA
rnacentral:lncRNA from 1 species